GACGAACGCUGGCGGCGUGCCUAAUACAUGCAAGUUGAGCGCUGAAGGUUGGUACUUGUACCAACUGGAUGAGCAGCGAACGGGUGAGUAACGCGUGGGGAAUCUGCCUUUGAGCGGGGGACAACAUUUGGAAACGAAUGCUAAUACCGCAUAAAAACUUUAAACACAAGUUUUAAGUUUGAAAGAUGCAAUUGCAUCACUCAAAGAUGAUCCCGCGUUGUAUUAGCUAGUUGGUGAGGUAAAGGCUCACCAAGGCGAUGAUACAUAGCCGACCUGAGAGGGUGAUCGGCCACAUUGGGACUGAGACACGGCCCAAACGCCUACGGGAGGCAGCAGUAGGGAAGCUUCGGCAAGGGACGAAAGUCUGACCGAGAAACGCCGCGUGAGUGAAGAAGGAUGUCGGAUCGUAAAACUCUGUUGGUAGAGAAGAACGUUGGUGAGAGUGGAAAGCUCAUCAAGUGACGGUAACUACCCAGAAAGGGACGGCUAACUACGUG
rnacentral:rRNA from 1 species